UACAGAGGUCUCAACCGUUGCUCGGAUUCAUUGGGCGUAAAGGGUGCGUAGGCGGUCGCGCAAGUCGGAUGUGAAAUCUUAGGGCUCAACCCUGAAACUGCAUUCGAUACUGCGUGGCUCGAGUACUGGAGAGGAGACUGGAAUUUACGGUGUAGCAGUGAAAUGCGUAGAUAUCGUAAGGAAGGCCGGUGGCGAAAGCGAGCCUCUGGACAGUUACUGACGCUGAUGCACGAAGGCCAGGGGAGCAAACGGG
rnacentral:rRNA from 1 species